UCACAGUGGUGCCUAUGGAGUCCACCGG
rnacentral:piRNA from 1 species